AUUGAACGCUGGCGGCAGGCCUAACACAUGCAAGUCGAGCGGCCUUAGGGAGCUUGCUCCUGGAUUCAGUGGCGGACGGGUGAGUAAGGCCUAGGAAUCUGACUGGCAGUGGGGUAUAACGUUCUCAAACGGGUGCUCAUACCCCAUACGUCCUGAGGGAGAACGUGGGGGAUCUUCUGACCUCUCGCUAUCAGACGAGUCUAGGUCGGAUUAGGUAGUUGGUGGGGUAAAGGCCCACCACGGCGACGAUUCGUAACUGGUCUGAUAGGAUGAUAAGUAACACUGGAACUGAGCCACGGUCCAGACUACUACGAGAAGCAGCAGUGGGGAAUAUUAGACAGUGGGCGAAAGCCUGAUCCAGCCAUGCCGCGUGUGUGAAGAAGGGCUUCGGAUUGUGAAGCACUUUAAUUUGGAAAGAAAAGCAGUAAGUUAGUAGCUUGCUGUUUUGACGUUACCGACAGAAUAAGCACCGGCUAACUUCGUG
rnacentral:rRNA from 1 species